rnacentral:rRNA from 1 species
CGGGUGCACUGAUCCGGCCGGGCCUUUCCCUCUGUGGAACCCCAUGGCCUUCACUGGCUGUGCGGGGGAAACAGGACUUUUACUGUGAAAAAAUUAGAGUGCUCCAGGCAGGCCUAUGCUCGAAUACAUUAGCAUGGAAUAAUAGAAUAGGACGCGUGGUUCUAUUUUGUUGGUUUCUAGAACCGCCGUAAUGAUUAAUAGGGACAGUCGGGGGCAUCAGUAUUCAAUUGUCAGAGGUGAAAUUCUUGGAUCUAUUGAAGACUAACUACUGCGAAAGCAUUUGCCAAGGAUGUUUUCAUUGAUAAGGAACGAAAGUUAGGGGAUCGAAGACGAUCAGAUACCGUCGUAGUCUUAACUAUAAACUAUGCCGACUAGGGAUCGGACGAUGUUAUUUCUUGACGCGUUCGGCACCUUUCGAGAAAUCAAAGUGCUUGGGCUCCAGGGGGAGUAUGGUCGCAAGGCUGAAACUUAAAGAAAUUGACGGAAGGGCACCACCAGGGGUGGAACCUGCGGCUUAAUUUGACUCAACACGGGGAAACUCACCAGGUCCAGACACAGUGAGGAUUGACAGAUUGAGAGCUCUUUCUUGAUUCUGUGGGUGGUGGUGCAUGGCCGUUCUUAGUUGGUGGAGUGAUUUGUCUGCUUAAUUGCGAUAACGAACGAGACCUUAACCUGCUAAAUAGCCCGUACUGCUCUGGCAGUUCGCCGGCUUCUUAGAGGGACUAUCGG